UUAAGCGACUAAGCGUACACGGUGGAUGCCCUGGCAGUCAGAGGCGAUGAAGGACGUGCUAAUCUGCGAAAAGCGUCGGUAAGGUGAUAUGAACCGUUAUAACCGGCGAUGUCCGAAUGGGGAAACCCAGUGUGAUUCGUCACACUAUCGUUAACUGAAUACAUAGGUUAACGAGGCGAACCGGGGGAACUGAAACAUCUAAGUACCCCGAGGAAAAGAAAUCAACCGAGAUUCCCCCAGUAGCGGCGAGCGAACGGGGAGCAGCCCAGAGUCUGAAUCAGCUUGUGUGUUAGUGGAACGGUCUGGAAAGUCCGACGGUACAGGGUGAUAGUCCCGUACACCAAAAUGCACAGGUUGUGAACUCGAAGAGUAGGGCGGGACACGUGGUAUCCUGUCUGAAUAUGGGGGGACCAUCCUCCAAGGCUAAAUACUCCUGACUGACCGAUAGUGAACCAGUACCGUGAGGGAAAGGCGAAAAGAACCCCGGCGAGGGGAGUGAAAAAGAACCUGAAACCGUGUACGUACAAGCAGUGGGAGCACCUUCGGGUGUGACUGCGUACCUUUUGUAUAAUGGGUCAGCGACUUAUAUUCUGUAGCAAGGUUAACCGUAUAGGGGAGCCGCAGGGAAACCGAGUCUUAACUGGGCGUUAAGUUGCAGGGUAUAGACCCGAAACCCGGUGAUCUAGCCAUGGGCAGGUUGAAGGUUGGGUAACACUAACUGGAGGACCGAACCGACUAAUGUUGAAAAAUUAGCGGAUGACUUGUGGCUGGGGGUGAAAGGCCAAUCAAACCGGGAGAUAGCUGGUUCUCCCCGAAAGCUAUUUAGGUAGCGCCUCGUGAAUUCAUCUUCGGGGGUAGAGCACUGUUUCGGCUAGGGGGUCAUCCCGACUUACCAACCCGAUGCAAACUACGAAUACCGAAGAAUGUUAUCACGGGAGACACACGGCGGGUGCUAACGUCCGUCGUGAAGAGGGAAACAACCCAGACCGCCAGCUAAGGUCCCAAAGUCAUGGUUAAGUGGGAAACGAUGUGGGAAGGCACAGACAGCCAGGAUGUUGGCUUAGAAGCAGCCAUCAUUUAAAGAAAGCGUAAUAGCUCACUGGUCGAGUCGGCCUGCGCGGAAGAUGUAACGGGGCUAAACCAUGCACCGAAGCUGCGGCAGCGACACUAUGUGUUGUUGGGUAGGGGAGCGUUCUGUAAGCCUGCGAAGGUGACCUGUGAGGGUUGCUGGAGGUAUCAGAAGUGCGAAUGCUGACAUAAGUAACGAUAAAGCGGGUGAAAAGCCCGCUCGCCGGAAGACCAAGGGUUCCUGUCCAACGUUAAUCGGGGCAGGGUGAGUCGACCCCUAAGGCGAGGCCGAAAGGCGUAGUCGAUGGGAAACAGGUUAAUAUUCCUGUACUUGGUGUUACUGCGAAGGGGGGACGGAGAAGGCUAUGUUAGCCGGGCGACGGUUGUCCCGGUUUAAGCAUGUAGGCUGGUUGUCCAGGCAAAUCCGGAUAAUCAAGGCUGAGGUGUGAUGACGAGGCACUACGGUGCUGAAGUAACAAAUGCCCUGCUUCCAGGAAAAGCCUCUAAGCAUCAGGUAACAUCAAAUCGUACCCCAAACCGACACAGGUGGUCAGGUAGAGAAUACCAAGGCGCUUGAGAGAACUCGGGUGAAGGAACUAGGCAAAAUGGUGCCGUAACUUCGGGAGAAGGCACGCUGGUGUGUAGGUGAAGUCCCUGCGGAUGGAGCUGAGACCAGUCGAAGAUACCAGCUGGCUGCAACUGUUUAUUAAAAACACAGCACUGUGCAAACACGAAAGUGGACGUAUACGGUGUGACGCCUGCCCGGUGCCGGAAGGUUAAUUGAUGGGGUUAUCCGUAAGGAGAAGCUCUUGAUCGAAGCCCCGGUAAACGGCGGCCGUAACUAUAACGGUCCUAAGGUAGCGAAAUUCCUUGUCGGGUAAGUUCCGACCUGCACGAAUGGCGUAAUGAUGGCCAGGCUGUCUCCACCCGAGACUCAGUGAAAUUGAACUCGCUGUGAAGAUGCAGUGUACCCGCGGCAAGACGGAAAGACCCCGUGAACCUUUACUAUAGCUUGACACUGAACAUUGAGCCUUGAUGUGUAGGAUAGGUGGGAGGCUUUGAAGCGUGGACGCCAGUCUGCGUGGAGCCAACCUUGAAAUACCACCCUUUAAUGUUUGAUGUUCUAACGUUGGCCCCUUACCGGGGUUGCGGACAGUGUCUGGUGGGUAGUUUGACUGGGGCGGUCUCCUCCCAAAGCGUAACGGAGGAGCACGAAGGUUAGCUAAUCCUGGUCGGACAUCAGGAGGUUAGUGCAAUGGCAUAAGCUAGCUUGACUGCGAGCGUGACGGCGCGAGCAGGUGCGAAAGCAGGUCAUAGUGAUCCGGUGGUUCUGAAUGGAAGGGCCAUCGCUCAACGGAUAAAAGGUACUCCGGGGAUAACAGGCUGAUACCGCCCAAGAGUUCAUAUCGACGGCGGUGUUUGGCACCUCGAUGUCGGCUCAUCACAUCCUGGGGCUGAAGUAGGUCCCAAGGGUAUGGCUGUUCGCCAUUUAAAGUGGUACGCGAGCUGGGUUUAGAACGUCGUGAGACAGUUCGGUCCCUAUCUGCCGUGGGCGCUGGAGAAUUGAGGGGGGCUGCUCCUAGUACGAGAGGACCGGAGUGGACGCAUCACUGGUGUUCGGGUUGUCAUGCCAAUGGCACUGCCCGGUAGCUAAAUGCGGAAGAGAUAAGUGCUGAAAGCAUCUAAGCACGAAACUUGCCCCGAGAUGAGUUCUCCCUGAGACUUUAAGUCUCCUGAAGGAACGUUAAAGACGAUGACGUUGAUAGGCCGGGUGUGUAAGCGCAGCGAUGCGUUGAGCUAACCGGUACUAAUGAACCGUGAGGCUUAACCUU
rnacentral:rRNA from 2 species